rnacentral:rRNA from 1 species
UGGCGUGCCUUUUGUAGAAUGAACCGGCGAGUUACGAUUUGAUGCAAGGUUAAGCAGUAAAUGUGGAGCCGUAGCGAAAGCGAGUCUGAAUAGGGCGUUUAGUAUUUGGUCGUAGACCCGAAACCAGGUGAUCUACCCUUGGUCAGGUUGAAGUUCAGGUAACACUGAAUGGAGGACCGAACCGACUUACGUUGAAAAGUGAGCGGAUGAACUGAGGGUAGCGGAGAAAUUCCAAUCGAACCUGGAGAUAGCUGGUUCUCUCCGAAAUAGCUUUAGGGCUAGCCUCAAGUGAUGAUUAUUGGAGGUAGAGCACUGUUUGGACGAGGGGCCCCUCUCGGGUUACCGAAUUCAGACAAACUCCGAAUGCCAAUUAAUUUAACUUGGGAGUCAGAACAUGGGUGAUAAGGUCCGUGUUCGAAAGGGAAACAGCCCAGACCACCAGCUAAGGUCCCAAAAUAUAUGUUAAGUGGAAAAGGAUGUGGCGUUGCCCAGACAACUAGGAUGUUGGCUUAGAAGCAGCCAUCAUUUAAAGAGUGCGUAAUAGCUCACUAGUCGAGUGACACUGCGCCGAAAAUGUACCGGGGCUAAACAUAUUACCGAAGCUGUGGAUUGUCCUUUGGACAAUGGUAGGAGAGCGUUCUAAGGGCGUUGAAGCAUGAUCGUAAGGACAUGUGGAGCGCUUAGAAGUGAGAAUGCCGGUGUGAGUAGCGAAAGACGGGUGAGAAUCCCGUCCACCGAUUGACUAAGGUUUCCAGAGGAAGGCUCGUCCGCUCUGGGUUAGUCGGGUCCUAAGCUGAGGCCGACAGGCGUAGGCGAUGGAUAACAGGUUGAUAUUCCUGUACCACCUAUAAUCGUUUUAAUCGAUGGGGGGACGCAGUAGGAUAGGCGAAGCGUGCGAUUGGAUUGCACGUCUAAGCAGUAAGGCUGAGUAUUAGGCAAAUCCGGUACUCGUUAAGGCUGAGCUGUGAUGGGGAGAAGACAUUGUGUCUUCGAGUCGUUGAUUUCACACUGCCGAGAAAAGCCUCUAGAUAGAAAAUAGGUGCCCGUACCGCAAACCGACACAGGUAGUCAAGAUGAGAAUUCUAAGGUGAGCGAGCGAACUCUCGUUAAGGAACUCGGCAAAAUGACCCCGUAACUUCGGGAGAAGGGGUGCUCUUUAGGGUUAACGCCCAGAAGAGCCGCAGUGAAUAGGCCCAAGCGACUGUUUAUCAAAAACACAGGUCUCUGCUAAACCGUAAGGUGAUGUAUAGGGGCUGACGCCUGCCCGGUGCUGGAAGGUUAAGAGGAGUGGUUAGCUUCUGCGAAGCUACGAAUCGAAGCCCCAGUAAACGGCGGCCGUAACUAUAACGGUCCUAAGGUAGCGAAAUUCCUUGUCGGGUAAGUUCCGACCCGCACGAAAGGCGUAACGAUUUGGGCACUGUCUCAACGAGAGACUCGGUGAAAUCAUAGUACCUGUGAAGAUGCAGGUUACCCGCGACAGGACGGAAAGACCCCGUGGAGCUUUACUGUAGCCUGAUAUUGAAAUUCGGCACAGCUUGUACAGGAUAGGUAGGAGCCUUUGAAACGUGAGCGCUAGCUUACGUGGAGGCGCUGGUGGGAUACUACCCUAGCUGUGUUGGCUUUCUAACCCGCACCACUUAUCGUGGUGGGAGACAGUGUCAGGCGGGCAGUUUGACUGGGGCGGUCGCCUCCUAAAAGGUAACGGAGGCGCUCAAAGGUUCCCUCAGAAUGGUUGGAAAUCAUUCAUAGAGUGUAAAGGCAUAAGGGAGCUUGACUGCGAGACCUACAAGUCGAGCAGGGUCGAAAGACGGACUUAGUGAUCCGGUGGUUCCGCAUGGAAGGGCCAUCGCUCAACGGAUAAAAGCUACCCCGGGGAUAACAGGCUUAUCUCCCCCAAGAGUUCACAUCGACGGGGAGGUUUGGCACCUCGAUGUCGGCUCAUCGCAUCCUGGGGCUGUAGUCGGUCCCAAGGGUUGGGCUGUUCGCCCAUUAAAGCGGUACGCGAGCUGGGUUCAGAACGUCGUGAGACAGUUCGGUCCCUAUCCGUCGUGGGCGUAGGAAAUUUGAGAGGAGCUGUCCUUAGUACGAGAGGACCGGGAUGGACAUACCUCUGGUGUACCAGUUGUCGUGCCAACGGCAUAGCUGGGUAGCUAUGUGUGGACGGGAUAAGUGCUGAAAGCAUCUAAGCAUGAAGCCCCCCUCAAGAUGAGAUUUCCCAACUUCGGUUAUAAGAUCCCUCAAAGAUGAUGAGGUUAAUAGGUUCGAGGUGGAAGCAUGGUGACAUGUGGAGCUGACGAAUACUAAUCGAUCGAAGACUUAAUCAA